rnacentral:lncRNA from 1 species
GGUGGAGUGUGGUGGAGGAGAGAUCAGGCGGUGACUCACUCCCUGCACCGCGGCCAGGGAGGGGCAACGCUGCAAUUCUCCGACCCCUUCUCCGGUGGUCCCUCCAGACUCUAAUCCGCCCCGCCCCCCACGCCCCGUACCUCCUCCUCCCCUUCUUUCUCGCUCCUAGAUGAGCUGGAUCUCUGGCCACCUAUUCACGGUCUUUUCCCAUCUCUCCCUCCUCUACGCAGUCCCUUUGCCCUAUAGCCAGAGCCUCCUGCCUGUCCCGGGCUCUCACCCACCAAGGCCUGCCUUGGCAUCACUGAGCUACAGAAUCUUAUCUCCCAGAUAGCUUAGAGCCCAUCUAGUCCAUUCAUUUGGGAGAGGAGGAGGCAAAGCGGAGACAGCGGAGAGAAUACUAGAUGCAGAGUUAGAACACCUGGGCUGGGCAUGUGCCUGUCCUCAAAAAGCUCAAGUUCUAAUGGGGAGGACUAUAUGCAAAGCAGGGGCAGCUAGGUGGCUCCGUGGAUUGAGAGUCAGGUCUUGGGUUCAAAUUUGACCUCAGACACUUCUUAGCUGUGUGCCCCUGGGCAAGUCAAAUAACCCCUAUUGCCUAGCCCUUACUGUUCUUCUAUCUCGAAACCAGUACUUACUAUUGAUUCUAAGACAGGAGGUAGUGGUUAAAAAAAAAAAAAGAAAAAAAAACAUAGAGGUCAUUUGCAGAACAAGGAGAAGUCCCAGAUGGCAAAGAGAGAGGCCUGAAGGUGCAGCAGGAUGCAAGGUCAGCUGCCAACUGGCAACCUUGUCACUUGACACUCAAUUCCAGGGUCAUAGAUCCAGGGUGGACUGCAGAGGGGACCUACACUUAAGGGUGACAUUCCCAUAGUGGCAGGAUUCUUUUUGGGGUGCUAAGCUUGAGCCUCUGAGAACCCCUCCCCGUUUUCUUGUGUCUCUUAUUUUUAAAGUUUCCUUUAUAAAAAUGAUGAAUUAAAUAUCAUUGACAAAAUAAAACAGACUUGUUUUUGCCUUUGUCA